rfam:Pan troglodytes isolate Yerkes chimp pedigree #C0471 (Clint) chromosome 17, whole genome shotgun sequence.
CAAGUACUGGUCUCUGCAGAUUGAGGAGAGCACCGCAGUUGUCACCACGCAGUCUGCCGAGGUUGGAGCUGC